ACAUAACCAUAUCUACAUCAGAUUAAUUCCAAAGUGAUUUUUUCUUUUCUUCAUCUUAAUAGAUAAUAGGUACUCUAACAUCAUACCUGAUAACUGUGAACGAGGCUUCAUACGAUCAUAUGUAUUUGUUUUAAAUAGUAAAUAAUUAGGGUGUAUAUUGAUUGGAUUUUUUACUUUCCUAAAAUCUGAUUUGUUAAGAUUUUCUCCCUCGGGCAAGAAAUGUCAUCAAAUUUUAAAGCUAAUUUUUAGCUAACGAUCUACGGACUGAGGGCGGAGUAGCGCCAACCUCUCUCGUCUCCCCAGCAAUUUGAGCUACAGAAAUGGAGUAUCCAUGGACGAUACUGUUCAUUUUCAUUAGCCUCGCUCUUUGUUUUCCUGCAGCUUUGUUAUCUACUCUCAUCAUAGAAGCUUACAAGAGGAGAUUCAAUCGCGAGCACCUUGGAGCUCCAGCAAUCUUCGAGGACCCAAACUCGUUGAAACGGGUUCCUUGCCCUUCAAUUUUCGAUCCAGCUGAGAAGUAUAUGUCCUUGAUCGUUCCUGCUUUCAAUGAAGAGUACAGGCUUCAGGGAGCUCUGGAGGAAACCAUCAAUUAUCUUCAACAACGAGCUGCAAAGGACAAGUCAUUUUCCUAUGAGGUCAUAAUAAUUGAUGAUGGGAGCGCGGAUGGCACAAAAGGUAUAGCUUUCAAUUUUGUUAGGAAGUACUCUGUAGAAAAUGUGAGGGUUAUACUUCUCGGAAGAAAUCAUGGAAAAGGAGAAGCUAUUAGAAAGGGAAUGCUUCACUCACGUGGUGAGAUACUUCUAAUGCUGGAUGCCGAUGGAGCAACCAAAAUUACCGACCUAGAAAAACUUGAAAACCAGAUUCAUGCAGUAGUUAAGAAGGAAACUUCAAGAGAUUCAAGCGUUAGAGUAUCUGAUAUUCCUAUCACUGCAUUUGGUUCUCGUGCUCAUCUUGAGGAAAAGGCUUUGGCUACAAGGAAGUGGUACCGCAAUUUCUUGAUGAAGGGUUUUCAUCUUGUGGUUCUUCUAACUGCUGGUCCUGGAAUACGGGAUACACAGUGUGGUUUUAAGAUGUUCACGAGAUCUGCUGCAAGAAAGCUGUUUAUUAACAUUCGUUUGAAGAGGUGGUGCUUUGAUGUUGAGUUGGUUUACCUCAGCAAAUAUUUUGGCAUUCCUAUGAUUGAAGUAUCCGUGAACUGGUCUGAAAUACCCGGAUCCAAGCUAAGUCCUCAGAGCAUUUUAAACAUGCUAUGGGAGCUCGCACUCAUGUCGAUCGGAUACAAAACUGGACUCUGGAAAAUUUUCAACUGAGUGUCCGACUGAAUUUCUCAGACCAGGAGGGGGGGUGGGGGAAUGAACAAUUGACCAAUACGUAAGCAACUUAACUCAUUGCUGUGCAGCCUUUCAGCUGGUCCUGCAUUUCCAGUAUAAAAAGAAGCAUUUCCUGUGCACAAUUGAUGGCCCAGAUUCAUCAUACUCUGCCUUUGCAAUCCACAUCUGCAGGAAAAGAAACAAGACAGCAACGACAGUGAUAAGUAUUGAAAAUAAGUGAAAGCUAAACUGAAAGCAUUUUGUG